CAGAACAAUAAAAGGUAAACCGAUCCCACAAAAAAAUAUUCAAAUAAAAAUCUCUAUUUUAAUAAUAAUAAUAAUAGCAACAUAAAUAGUCUGAUCACCUGAGCAUAUAAACACAGGGAAAUACUAAUAAUUACCAGGAAACGACGAAGAAGAUGAGCAGGACAAUUUCUCUAUAUUUCUGCUCAAAUUAAUUGAAACAAAUAGAAUUUGAAAAAAUUCUACGCGCUAAUGCAUUGCAUCUAUCGCCUCCCUAGCUGGCCGACUGCUCCGGGUCCAGCAACGGGCCGAACGCGGUGACGUUCUGGAAGCCCGUUUCCAUGGCCGGUGCGGUUCAUUUCGCCCUGUUCUUGCUCCUGAUAAGCAUCUUCCUCAACUCCACCGGAUCCAUCUCCUUCGCAUUCGAUUCCGGCCGGUAGCACCCGGUCACCGGGUCGGGCACCCAUGCACUCUCCCCGGCCUUCUCGGAUCCUUUCUUCAGCAUCAUGUUCGGAGCCCCGGCAGCCCUGCUAGUGCUACCCAACCCCUGCGACUGCGACGCAGCAGAGUAUCCCCUCCUGUAUCGAGUAAUAAAAAUUAAUUUAAUAAACGAUGUUCCAAUUUAAAUGCGAGAUUAUUACAGAAUGAGGUGCAGAUUAUAUGAUUGUUUAUUAGUUUUUUGAGAAUCUGAUAACGAACCUGGUAACAGCGGCAGAGAUUUGGUUGCCGAUGAAGGAAGAGACGGUUUUAACGUUGGAGAAUGAACGAGCCAUUUUUUUUCCUUUUUGGAUGAGAAGAUCUGGAAAUGGAGCUGCAGGUGCAGAUUUUUUUUUAAUUUUUUUUUUUUUAUAAAAGGGGACCUCUGUGUUUGUAGAAAGUUUGGAGGUACCCUAGGGUUGAGAAUGGAUGAAGAAGUGAGGGAGAGGGCGGCCAUAUUUAUAGUGAGAGAAAGGGGC
rnacentral:lncRNA from 1 species